rnacentral:rRNA from 1 species
GAGUGAAAUAGAACCUGAAACCGUGUGCUUACAAGUAGUCAGAGCCCGUUAAUGGGUGAUGGCGUGCCUUUUGUAGAAUGAACCGGCGAGUUACGAUUUGAUGCAAGGUUAAGCAGUAAAUGUGGAGCCGUAGCGAAAGCGAGUCUGAAUAGGGCGUUUAGUAUUUGGUCGUAGACCCGAAACCAGGUGAUCUACCCUUGGUCAGGUUGAAGUUCAGGUAACACUGAAUGGAGGACCGAACCGACUUACGUUGAAAAGUGAGCGGAUGAACUGAGGGUAGCGGAGAAAUUCCAAUCGAACCUGGAGAUAGCUGGUUCUCUCCGAAAUAGCUUUAGGGCUAGCCUCAAGUGAUGAUUAUUGGAGGUAGAGCACUGUUUGGACGAGGGGCCCCUCUCGGGUUACCGAAUUCAGACAAACUCCGAAUGCCAAUUAAUUUAACUUGGGAGUCAGAACAUGGGUGAUAAGGUCCGUGUUCGAAAGGGAAACAGCCCAGACCACCAGCUAAGGUCCCAAAAUAUAUGUUAAGUGGAAAAGGAUGUGGCGUUGCCCAGACAACUAGGAUGUUGGCUUAGAAGCAGCCAUCAUUUAAAGAGUGCGUAAUAGCUCACUAGUCGAGUGACACUGCGCCGAAAAUGUACCGGGGCUAAACAUAUUACCGAAGCUGUGGAUUGUCCUUUGGACAAUGGUAGGAGAGCGUUCUAAGGGCGUUGAAGCAUGAUCGUAAGGACAUGUGGAGCGCUUAGAAGUGAGAAUGCCGGUGUGAGUAGCGAAAGACGGGUGAGAAUCCCGUCCACCGAUUGACUAAGGUUUCCAGAGGAAGGCUCGUCCGCUCUGGGUUAGUCGGGUCCUAAGCUGAGGCCGACAGGCGUAGGCGAUGGAUAACAGGUUGAUAUUCCUGUACCACCUAUAAUCGUUUUAAUCGAUGGGGGGACGCAGUAGGAUAGGCGAAGCGUGCGAUUGGAUUGCACGUCUAAGCAGUAAGGCUGAGUAUUAGGCAAAUCCGGUACUCGUUAAGGCUGAGCUGUGAUGGGGAGAAGACAUUGAGUCUUCGAGUCGUUGAUUUCACACUGCCGAGAAAAGCCUCUAGAUAGAAAAUAGGUGCCCGUACCGCAAACCGACACAGGUAGUCAAGAUGAGAAUUCUAAGGUGAGCGAGCGAACUCUCGUUAAGGAACUCGGCAAAAUGACCCCGUAACUUCGGGAGAAGGGGUGCUCUUUAGGGUUAACGCCCAGAAGAGCCGCAGUGAAUAGGCCCAAGCGACUGUUUAUCAAAAACACAGGUCUCUGCUAAACCGUAAGGUGAUGUAUAGGGGCUGACGCCUGCCCGGUGCUGGAAGGUUAAGAGGAGUGGUUAGCUUCUGCGAAGCUACGAAUCGAAGCCCCAGUAAACGGCGGCCGUAACUAUAACGGUCCUAAGGUAGCGAAAUUCCUUGUCGGGUAAGUUCCGACCCGCACGAAAGGCGUAACGAUUUGGGCACUGUCUCAACGAGAGACUCGGUGAAAUCAUAGUACCUGUGAAGAUGCAGGUUACCCGCGACAGGACGGAAAGACCCCGUGGAGCUUUACUGUAGCCUGAUAUUGAAAUUCGGCACAGCUUGUACAGGAUAGGUAGGAGCCUUUGAAACGUGAGCGCUAGCUUACGUGGAGGCGCUGGUGGGAUACUACCCUAGCUGUGUUGGCUUUCUAACCCGCACCA